rnacentral:rRNA from 1 species
AUCGAACGCUGGCGGCAGGCUUAACACAUGCAAGUCGAGCGAGCGGCUGACGGGUGAGUAAUGCUUAGGAAUCUGCCUAUUAGUGGGGGAUAACUACUGGAAACGGUAGCUAAUACCGCAUACCAUCAGAUGUGCCCAGAUGGGAUUAGCUAGUAGGUGGGGUAACGGCUCACCUAGGCGACGAUCCCUAGAUGGUCUGAGAGGAUGACCAGCCACACGGGAACUGAGACACGGUCCAAACUCCUACGGGAGGCAGCAGUGGGGAAUAUUGCACAAUGGGCGCAAGCCUGAUGCAGCCAUGCCGCGUGUGUGAAGAAGGCCUUCGGGUUGUAAAGCACUUUCAGCGGGGAGGCGUUACCCGCACAGGAAGCACCGGCUAACUCCGUGCCAGCAGCCGCGGUAAUAC